UGCCCUGUAGUGUAAUGGCAACACCCGAGAGUUUGGUUCUUGAACUAUAGGUUCGAAUCCUAUUGGGGCAA
rnacentral:tRNA from 1 species